AUUGAACGCUGGCGGCAUGCCUAACACAUGCAAGUCGAACGGCAGCACGGGUCAGUUUACUGACUGGGUGGCGAGUGGCGAACGGGUGAGUAACGUGUGGGAAUAUACCUGAAAGAACGGGACAACUUGGGGAAAGUCAAGUAAAUACCGUAUGAGCGCGGAGGAGGAAAGCUGGGGCCCGAAAGGCCUGGCGCUUUAGGAUGAGCCUGCGUCCGAUUAGCUAGUUGGUAGGGUAAAGGCCUACCAAGGCGACGAUCGGUAGCUGGUCUGAGAGGAUGGACAGCCACACUGGGACUGAGACACGGCCCAGACUCCUACGGGAGGCAGCAGUGGGGAAUAUUGGACAAUGGGGGGAACCCUGAUCCAGCAAUGCCGCGUGUGUGAAGAAGGCCUGAGGGUUGUAAAGAACUUUCAGUGGGGAGGAGGGGUGAUUGGUUAAGAACUGAUUAAAUGGACGUUACCCACAGAAGAAGCACCGGCUAACUCCGUGCCAGCCGCCGCGGUAA
rnacentral:rRNA from 1 species